CAAGAACACCGUCUAGCUCAGUCCCCAUUCUGUUAACCAUCGGUCAGUUUGGUUGCUCUGGACGGAGUGGAACCACCAACAGACUCCAGGCUCCAUGGCCAUGGGAACCAUGUGUCAAUGUUCUAUUCCUGGUGCCUGAGAAAAUGCCUGAAAUAUAAGUGCUUUUACCAGUACUGUUGAAUUUGAUGAAUUUUUAUAAAGAAAUUGUUUCGAGCUGGGAAGAACCUACGGAAGAUGUAACUCAAACACCUCAUUCUACAGAAGAGAAGCAGAAGAAUCAGAUGGACUGUCACAUACAGGUAGUUGGUGGCAGAACCAGGGCUAGAAGCCACAUCUGGUCCAUGGUUCUGUGCCACAUAGCCUCCAAAUUGAAGCAGGCUCCAUAUUUUUAAACGGACUCUUUUCAAUAGCUUGUUUCUGCUUUUAGAAUCCUAUAGAAUCAAAUGUGAUUUGUAAACUAGCUUGCAGAUAAGGAAAUCGCCCCCACUUGAAGGACUAUAUUAAAUAAAAUGCUUUUGGCUGCAAGCGACAGAAAAUCCAAGAGGCUAGUAACUUCAAGUUCCAAGAGCACUGGGUCUCUGUGUCAUGAAUCCUGUAUCCAGAUUGGUGCCUUGAACACCCUACUAAAUUCUGAUGGACUGAAUGAGCCAGAUGAUGAACACACUAAGUCCAGGAUCACACAGCUAGUCAACGGGCAGCAGCCAGAACUCAGGUUUUUGGGUUCCUUGGAUUUUCUGUGUUUCAAAAGCCAAUAUAUAAUAUUGGUUUUACACUACCUGUAUGUGGUUUUUUUAUUGUAACUUCCUUCAAAGCAUUCUAAAGGAUUUUGCAGAUUUCUCCCUUCCAUUCAUAGGCCAGUGGGGAAAAAUCACUAUUUAAAAAAAAAAAAAAGUACUUCCCAAAGGACUCACUGAGGUAAAGAAGUAACCUCUUCACACAGCUAUAUUCAAUUUCAAACAUUUGUCCCAUCUGCUUUUCAGAUUAGUCGUUAGAUUUCCCUAGUCCCACUCCAAGGCAAAGAAAAUGCUGCGGGCUUUGUCAUCAGCAAAGAAAACAUGGGUAACUACUUGACAGGCAGUUGGUGUGCUUAUCUUUCAGCAUCUAUUAUGAAUCUAUUAUGAAUCAAGCUAUACUGGGCAUAUCUGUGAAA
rnacentral:lncRNA from 1 species